UGUAAUUUAUAUUUAUAUUUCAUAGUUGGAUCGUUUUUUCUUCAUCCGUCAUGAAUUUUGUUUUCUAGGGCGUUGUUGGAAUGUCUUAAUCUACCAAAUACGAAGGUCUUAUAGGUUUAUAGGAUUUUGUAGAUUUUUCACUUUUUUUUUUACCUCAAAAUUGCUAGAUAUAUUUAACAAAAAAUCCCUUUUAGUUUUGGUUUCAAUGGAUAGUACAAUGUGCCUGUGACUAAUAUUUUUUCUUAUUUUCGCUGUUGUACCUUUUGGUUUGAAUAAUACUUUCACCAAAUAAUUUGAAGAAUGUUUAAGCUCAAAGAUGAAAACGAACAUCUAAACGGACAUUCAUAUAUUAAGAAAUCUAUUUAUAUUUCAUAGUUGGAUCGUUUUUUUCUUCAUCUGUCAUGAAUUUUUUUUUUUGGGUGUUGUUGGAAUGUCUUAAUCUACCAAAUACGAAGGUCUUAUAGGUUUAUAGGAUUUUGUAGAUUUUUCACUUUUUUUACCUCAAAAUUGCUAGAUAUAUUUAACAAAAAAUCCCUUUUAGUUUUGGUUUCAAUGGAUAGUACAAUGUGUCUAUGACUAAUAUUUUUUCUUAUUUUCGCUAUUUUACCUUUUGGUUUGAAUAAUACUUUCACCAAAUAAUUUGAAGAAUGUCUAAGCUCAAAGAUGAAAAUGAACAUCUAAACGGACAUUCAUAUAUUAAGAAAUCUAUUGCUACUUAAGUGGGUUGUGUUUCUGUGUCCGUCGACACAGUGACCAGUUGUUAGUUUUGGAUUAUACACAGUGACCCGCUAUUAGUUUGCACGCGCUAUCAAGCAAAAGUUCUUACUCAUACGAUCAUUAUUCUCCAAUCGGAACAUACAUCCUGGGAAAUUGACGAUCUGUUUUGCAGAACUUAAUGGAUAAGCAUCUCUGGCACUUGCUAUAUUUUCUUCAUGCUAUUGACUUUUUGCGCUAAUCGAAAGAUAUUGUUUGCAGGGACAUGCCCAUGGAGUUGUUUGUCAAAUUUAAUGUCAGGUCAAAUAAAAUCAUUAGCGAUAAUUUGUAAAUUUGUCUGUCAAAAAAUGUUGGAGAUUGGAAAAUGUCAUUCCUUACAGAAUUUAUAUUGUGCACUGUUAGGAUUGUCAAUACACUGAGAAUUUUAUUAUCCAUAGUCUGGUGUCUGUGUUUGAUAGAUAUUGACUGCCUACAACAUCCAUGGUUUUUGUGUCUAUGAUCACUUUUGAUCCCUUACACCUGUUUAAUUGUAAUUAUUUUCUAUUACACCUGUUUGAAAUUGUGAUAUCAUUGCUAAUCAUCUUUUUUUUUGCACUAAAAUAUGGAUUUGAUUUAUAAUUUUUCAUUUAACGAGCAUAAUUGGUGAUACUAGAAGCUUAGGCAUGGGUAGUGACUACUUAUAUAAGAUGUCAGAUAUGUUCCCUUGAGUUGGUUUUGACUCUGCUGCUUGAAGUUCCAAAUUAUUCUUUGAUUGUGUUAAUGAGCAUUUAAAUAUAGAAAAGAAUAUAUUGGCAGCAAUAUUAAUAUUCCGACCGGAUACUUACUAAUGGGAUGGACCAAGGUUGGCAUUGUUUGGUGUGAUAUUGGAAUAUGUCCAAGGUCUGGAUGAUGCUUAAGCAAUCAACCGAAUUCAUGAAAUUGACGAAGGGAAUCCAUGCCAGAUCCAUGUUGGAUCACCCGUAAGUGGUAUGAAAUUGACUGGAAGUGUACUAUGGUUAUCAGUUUAGAUGCGUUGUUAGUCGCGAAAAUGUAAGAAACUUGUACUGUGUACCUUUUUGUAACCCUUUCAUUUGUUGUCUCUUUUUAAAGCUAAUGCUAAAUCGAAUACAGAAGAUGAAUUGCAUGGGGUCAAGUAAUGGGUACUCAACAAGUGAGGGUCGUCUAUAAAACACUUAAAAAGAAGGAUGAUUCUAAACAGACCGAGAAACUAGACUACACCAAAACAAUAUCUCACUUUAUGUCUCACAAUUUUUUUUGUAUGGUCUCGGUGGGCCCCGCGGAGGACAGUAAGGGGUCCCAUUUUUUGGGUUUGUUGCGUCUAAGGUUUCCGUGUGGUUUCAUUCACACGGUUCACUAAGAAUUUUUGUAAAAAGAAAUGCAGAUGGAAAUCUACAUCAAGGUGUUACUUUCUUGAUCAUUAAUACGAAACUCUGGUCAAAGUAAAGAGUUUUAUUGAAA